rnacentral:tRNA from 1 species
UCGAGCGUGGCUUUGAGACCGAAUGCGCCAGACUCAAGAUCUGGUCCCUCAGUGGGUUCGGGGGUUCGAAUCCCUCCCCCCGCA